AGUGAACGCUGGCGGUAGGCCUAACACAUGCAAGUCGAACGGCAGCACAGUAAGAGCUUGCUCUUACGGGUGGCGAGUGGCGGACGGGUGAGGGAUACAUCGGAAUCUACUUUUUCGUGGGGGAUAACGUAGGGAAACUUACGCUAAUACCGCAUACGACCUACGGGUGAAAGCAGGGGAGCUUCGGACCUUGCGCGAUUGAAUGAGCCGAUGUCGGAUUAGCUAGUUGGCGGGUGAAAGGCCCACCAAGGCGACGAUCCGUAGCUGGUCUGAGAGGAUGAUCAGCCACACUGGAACUGAGACACGGUCCAGACUCCUACGGGAGGCAGCAGUGGGGAAUAUUGGACAAUGGGCGCAAGCCUGAUCCAGCCAUACCGCGUGGGUGAAGAAGGCCUUAGGGUUGUAAAGCCAUUUUGUUGGGAAAGAAGAACAGCAGGUUAAUCCCCCGCUGUUCUGACGGUACCCAAAGAAUAAGCCCCGGCUAACUUCGUG
rnacentral:rRNA from 1 species